rnacentral:rRNA from 1 species
AUUGAACGCUGGCGGCAGGCCUAACACAUGCAAGUCGAGCGGUAGCACAGAAGAGCUUGCUCUUUGGGUGACGAGCGGCGGACGGGUGAGUAAUGUCUGGGAAACUGCCUGAUGGAGGGGGAUAACUACUGGAAACGGUAGCUAAUACCGCAUAACCUCGCAAGAGCAAAGAGGGGGACCUUCGGGCCUCUCGCCAUCAGAUGUGCCCAGAUGGGAUUAGCUAGUAGGUGAGGUAAUGGCUCACCUAGGCGACGAUCCCUAGCUGGUCUGAGAGGAUGACAAGCCACACUGGAACUGAGACACGGUCCACACCCCUACGGGAGGCGGCAGUGGGGAAUAUUGCACAAUGGGCGCAAGCCUGAUGCAGCCAUGCCGCGUAUGUGAAGAAGGCCUUCGGGUUGUAAAGCACUUUCAGCGGGGAGGAAGGCGGUAAGGUUAAUAACCUUAUCGAUUGACGUUACCCGCAGAAGAAGCACCGGCUAACUCCGUGCCAGCCGCCGCCGUAA